CUAUCUACUUACUUUUAAGAGCUAUUAAUGACUGAUAUAGCGACCUGACCAGCAAGCCUGAACUGCAGGUCCCUGGACCCUCUCAGAGCACCACCAAAUAGGCUGAAGGAAUCAGCUAAGACUCCAUCUGCUAACCCUGCAAAGAUCUUUGCCAGACAAAAUGGGAGACACGAGGGCUUCCAGGGCUGGAUCCAGAAGACUGUCCUCACAGAAAGCCAGAGACACAGCCAGCCACUCUGCUCACGGAGUGGACAGGAAGAGGAGGUUUGCAGGAAAGGAAAAGGUUGGGUUUCGGCAACAUGAGCCCAAUUACAUAAACUGAUUCAAAGUG